rnacentral:rRNA from 1 species
AGAGUUUGAUCAUGGCUCAGAAUGAACGCUGGCGGCACGCUUAACACAUGCAAGUCGAACGAGAUCUUCGGAUCUAGUGGCAGACGGGUGAGUAACGCGUGGGAACCUGCCCAGUAGUAGAGAAUAACUUGGGGAAACUUAAGCUAAUACUUUAUACGUCCUUCGGGAGAAAGCUUUAUGCGCUAUUGGAUGGGCCCGCGUUAGAUUAGUUUGUUGGUGAGGUAACGGCUCACCAAGGCGACGAUCUAUAGCUGGUCUGAGAGGAUGAUCAGCCACACUGGGACUGAGACACGGCCCAGACUCCUACGGGAGGCAGCAGUGGGGAAUAUUGGACAAUGGGGGCAACCCUGAUCCAGCGAUGCCGCGUGAGUGAUGAAGGCCCUAGGGUUGUAAAACUCUUUCGUCAGGGAAGAUAAUGACGGUACCUGAAGAAGAAGAUCCGGCUAACUCCGUGCCAGCAGCCGCGGUAAUACGGAGGGGUCUAGCGUUAUUCGGAAUUACUGGGCGUAAAGCGAGCGUAGGCGGAUUUGUAAGUUGGAGGUGAAAUCCCAGAGCUUAACUCUGGAACUGCCUUCAAAACUACAUUUCUUGAGUUUGGUAGAGGAGAGUGGAAUUCCUAGUGUAGAGGUGAAAUUCGUAGAUAUUAGGAGGAACACCAGUGGCGAAGGCGACUCUCUGGGCCAAUACUGACGCUGAGGUUCGAAAGCAUGGGUAGCGAACAGGAUUAGAUACCCUGGUAGUCCAUGCAGUAAACGAUGAGUGCUAGAUGUUGGGAAUUUAAAUUUCCCAGUAUCGCCAGUUAACGGCGUUAAGCACUCCG